CUGUUGUUCGUAAAAAAUCUGUUGAAAUUACAAUUUUGAACUAAAAAUUGAAAGUCUUAGAGGUAUCAGAAAUCAAAAUUGAGUAAAUAUUUACAAUCAAUGUAAUUUUUAAAGCCUUAUGAGAAGUUUGGUAAAAUUUUGAUUCAGAAUGAAUUAAUUUGAUUUAAUUAAGAUAUGUAGAUAUAUAUAUAUAUAUAUAUAUGUUGAACUUAAGUCGACAAGGAGCUAGACUCAACAUUGUGCUGGAAAGGAAAGAAGAGAGAAAAGAAAGGAAAGAGAAGUCAAAGAAAGAGAGUUCAAGCUUGGAGGAAAGGAAAACAUAGGGCAAGUGGAGGAAUUGAAGGAGAUUUCAAGAAAUUAAGCUUAAGGUCACCUGCACGAGGGAUCAUGGCAUGGCCUAAAUCAUUGUGAGUAAUAAAUUUGUAAAGAUAUGUUCUUAAUUAUUAUUUGAAACAAUAUGAAUGUUAUACAUGUAUACGUAUUUCUGAAAUUGUAUUGUGAUAUAAAUGAGUUUCGAUUAAUGCUUUAA